GCUAACGGCUGAACUGGCAACUUGGAGAAGUGGCAAGUCUUCCAGUAUGGGGAGCAAAACAGCUAUGGGUCAAGUCCGAUAUCUUUAGGAGAAGUCUUAUUGUGAGGGCGAGUUAUAUAACACCAUAGGACUGGCCGUCCCAUAUGAAAAGAUUAUAUUAGAAUUGAAUGAAGCUUUGUUUAUAUAUUGAUAAUGACAGUAUAUAUAUCGUGUCUUGACUAAUUGCGUGCCAGCAGUCGCGGUAAUACGUAAGAGACUAGUGUUAUUCAUCUUAAUUAGGUUUAAAGGGUACCCAGACGGUCAAUAUAGCUUAUAAAAUGUUAGUACUUGACUAGAGUUUUAUGUAAGAGGGCAGUACUUGAGGAGGAGAGAUGAAAUUUCGUGAUACCAAAGGGACUCUGUAAAGGCGAAGGCAGCCCUCUAUGUAAAAACUGACGUUGAAGGACGAAGGCACAGAGAACAAACAGGAUUAGAUACCCAAGUAGUCUUUGCAGUAAAUGAUGAAUGCCAUAGGUUAGAUUGAUCAAUUAUAGUCUAGGGUUAGUNUAGCAAACUAAUGCCCUAUGAUAUAAUUCAAAAUAUCUGGUCUAUAAAUGAAAGUGUAAGCAUUUCACCUCAAGAGUAAUGUGGCAACGCAGGAACUGAAAUCACUAGACCGUUUCUGACACCAGUAGUGAAGUAU
rnacentral:rRNA from 1 species